CCCACUGCACAGCGGUGCUGACUGCACUGGUCCUCUCUGCCUCCUCCACCUCAGCCAGCUCGGGCAGAGCGUUCUCAUGGACUUCAAACAGGGUAAUUGGGACAUCCUCACAGCAGCAUGACUAGCUUCCAAGAGGACAAGCUUCAAUAUGCCAGCACUUAUCAACUCUCUGUUUCUAUCGUGCUUGCCAAGGUCCUAUUGAUCAAAGUAAGUGACAUGGCCAAGUCCAGAGUCAGUGUGGGAGGGACUUACAAAAGAGUGUUCACACUGGAGGUCUAGUUCCUUGGAGAACCAUCAGUGUAACUCUAUCACAGUGAGGAAGUGGCAGGGCUAAAAAUCAAAACCAGAUCUGCCAUAUUCCCAAUCCAAAACUCUUUCAAUCAUUAAGUUUUGUGAUGAUGGAGUAAAUUGUAUUGUUAUUGCCUGCAAUGAUCUUUA